GGAAAAAAAGUUCGCAUAUGAAAACGUCUUGGAGGACAUGGUAUAUCAAGGAUUUACAGAUACAACAAUUAAUGCGGCUGCCCUUGUAUCAAAAAUGCGAACGCUUUAGAAUGCCUACAAAACAGCGAAAGACAACGAGAAGAAGACUGGAAUUUCUCCGUGCACAGUACCUUAUAUGCGCGAAAUGGACGAAAUUUUUGGCGAAAGUUGCUUGGUGUCCAACAACCACACCAUAAACAUUGGGACAGAACCUCAAGAGGCAUUGGUUGAGUCUAGUGGUAAGGAUUCAACUGAUUUUCAAACAAUGCUCGACGAUAUGCCAAGUACUUCAAAGCAGAGCCAGUCUGCACUAAGCCGUAGCAUAUGCAUACCGAAUGCAGUGUAUUCACAGGAGCCGAACGCAGCAAAUCCUGUUCUAAAUCGUCGU